rnacentral:tRNA from 2 species
GAGUAGAUACUCCUAAUGGUAAGGGGCCUGUCUGUAAAAUAGGUGAUUAAUAUCGUUGUAGGUUCAAGUCCUGCUCUACUCA